rfam:Schistosoma mansoni strain Puerto Rico chromosome 2, complete genome
AUUAUAUCUCGGCUCUCUGAGGUAAGAUCAUGAGUAGUAUCGGUUAUUUGCAGUGUAAUUUCUGUAACGGUCUCUAAACCGAGACAAAUGAAAUUACCUGUAUUUUUCACCUCCGGAUGGGUGCUGUGAGCUUGCACAAUCUCAUCCACGGGUCGGCCUCGUAUUACAUUUUUAUGAGUAAUCAGUUCACAUUAU